rnacentral:lncRNA from 1 species
AUGAAGUAUAUACAUAGUAUACAUGUCCAUCUGACUCAGUAUGGGUUUUGCCUUUUAGGUACUCCCUGUGGAUUCAUCCACAGCGCUGCAGACAGAGACACACAGGACGCUGGGAGGAUCCAGAAGGGAACCAACAACAGGACAGUUACACCGAUGGAAAAAGCAGAUUGUUGGGGGGGCUUGACAGGACUUCAUUGUGCUCCCGGUGGCUUCGCUCCAUUGCCCUCUACUGUGCUGCGUAUGGACUGUGACGACCACAUGGUGCCAUUUUCCCUGCCCUGUACCUUCAGAAGAGAGAAUCCGUGUUCCAGUGUUUUCCUACUGAGAGAUGACUUCUGCUUUUGCAAAUCAGUGCAAACAGUAUUUCACUUGUUGCUUCGUAGUCAACAUCAGUGUGCUCAGAUUUAGCAGGGAGCUUUUUCAUGGGUGUUGUGCAGAAUAAUUUGCUGCAGUGCGAUUUUUUUUUUGUAAGUAAUAAGCACAUCCUGGCCCGUUCUCUGACUUUAUUUUGCUGGUCAAAAACACUGAUUCUGUAGCCAUUGACCAUCACUCAUGCAUUUUUCCUUUAGCUGCCACGUGCAGUGACCCAUACUCUUUCUAACCCUCUCACGGUUUCUUCCUGUAUAAGAUACUUCACUCAAAGCGAGCAGCGUUUCAGCGAGACUUUUUUGUGUCUUUUCAUAGCUGGAGUUUAUCUAUGCCAGAUUUGUGCAAAGCUCUGAUAUUUGAAAAAAAAGCUGCUAAAGUGUGUGAAAAUGACAAGUUCCCAAUGUGCAAUUCACACAGUAUGUUUUUGUUUGUGCGGAAACCUCUAAAGUGGAUCACACUUGUGUGUGUGUGCGUGUUACGGGGGUGUGUACGUGAGUGCACGUGUUUCUUUGCAUGUACCCUAUACGUAUGUCUGCAUGUGUCUCUUAUCAGUCAGAUGAAAUGUAUUUGUAACGGGCCUUAAGCUAAAAGCUGCUUUACUGUGAUUUUUGUUUUCACAGCUGCUCAAUCAAUAACAGGCCUAUAUUCUUUUAGCCACUGGAUGUACCAGAUAAGGGAUAAAACAACAUUUACAAAUGGUUCUUAGCAUUUGUUACAACCUCACUGAAGUAGCAGUUAUUAUACUGAUUUAGAUCACAAGGAUGCCAUUGGAAAUUAAUGGUCUGUAGUUUUCUAAACGAUGCCCGCUGGCAAUAAUUAAGUUGUCCCGAUGCCUACAGUCCUAUCAUUUCACACUGAAGCCAAUUACAGCAAAUGCUAAUAAUUAUGUGUAAAUAGAUUUUUACCCACAUCUGGGUUGUACUAACAGUAUCUCACUAAUAUCUAACAGUACUAAUAUAUGUGCUAACAGUUGGAGGAUUACUAACCUGUAUUGAGAAUGCUGUUGGCUGGCAUUUCUAACCCUAACUUGACUAACCCUCUGCUUUCUGCCCGCAGUCUGCAGCGCAUAUACUCCCUUUGCAUGAUCUUGCAUCCCUUCUUUUAGAAGUUUAGAUAAAUCGUUAAAGUCGGGAAAAACGUUGCACUGAGCAUGUCGAGAAGGCUUUCGGGACUUGGAAAGGAAAAAAAAGUGAUUAAGCUCAAGGUGAAAAGACAAGCGGGAACAGCUGCUGACA